AAAGCGACUCAGUGUGUCACAGGAAGUACCUUCUGAUACCCAGCUAGCUAACAUUUAAUGUUCAUGUUAGCGUCAGUAAAAUGCUGAACGACAGUGAACUUGCAAACUUACGGAAUCGAUUUAAAAGAGAUGCAGAAUUGCUUAUGCGACCAGCAGAUUCGGGUGCCGAAGAUGAAAAGAGUCAGGAGGAAAAAGAGGUCAAACCACUCCCCCGCUUCAAUAAACACUCCAUUUUCUGGAUUGUGGCUUCGGUAGUUGUGACAUACUACGUGGAUUUCCUCCGACACAUCAUGGAAAAUGAUGAUAUCAAAAGUUGGUGGUUCACUGUUGGUCUGUUACUCCUGGGGAUCUGCUUGUCUCUGGCCACGUUUUGCAUUGUGUACUUGGAGUGGUACAAAGGCAUCCAGCACUAUGACCAAGAGUACCCUGCCAUUCCUCCAAUCACCACUGCAGCAUUUAUCGCUGCAUCAUGCAGCUUUAACAUUGCAUUAUGGCCAGUGUGGUCCUUCUUCACUCCACUCAUCCUCUUCACACAGUUCAUGGGUGUGGUAAUGUUCAUCUCUUUGCUUGGAUGAAUAGGAAAGAUGCUGGACAAGAGGAGGACAAAUCAUCAUCUCAUCUCAUCCACCACAAUGCUGACAUGAUGUUAGCUAAGCAAAAUGACAUUAAAUUGGCUCCACGGAAAAAAAAUCCAACCUACUUAGUUUGACAAAGCUUAUUCUGCGACUGACUCUUGCUUGUCAGCACCUGGAGUCAGUACCUGUCAGAAAGAGGCUUUAAAGUGGGCGCCUGAAGAAGAUGACGCCACAGCCGUUUCCUCACUGAGUCUUCCAAAUGCUACUGAAAAUUUGUUAAAUUAAUAAAUUGUUUUUUUUUUUUUAAUAACUUUAAUUUUUAUUAGUUUUAGUUAACAUUGAAAACCAUACAGUAAAGAAAAAUACAAACAUACAAACAGUCUGGAGUUUACAUUUCUUUUUUCUUCUGUCACAUGCAAAUUUCUUGUUAUGUUGUGUUUUUGGUGCCACUUCGGAAUGCUUUCCACUUCCUCCAUUGUCUAUCGUAUUUACAUCCCAUCAGUCUAAUAUUGAAUGUUAUUUUUUCCAUCUCUGAGAUACCCUCUACAAUACUAAUCCAAUCUCGUUGAGUGGGAGGGUCUGGGUGUAACCACUUCUUUGUGAUUGCUUUUUUGGUUGCGGCUAGAAUUAUUUUUGCUAGAUAUAAGUCCUCCUUUUGUAUCUGUUCCUUUAUGUUUCCAAGAUACAUCACUUGGCAGGUGUUUGGAAGUGCAUAACCCAGAAUAUUAUCCAUGGUCAUUUUAAAGUCUUCCCAAUACUUUUUAAUUUUUAUGCACUUCCAGAAAACAUGUGAAUGAUCUGCUUCUGUUUCUCCACACAGUCUCCAACAUUUCUGUGGACUUGAGGUCUGUUUAGUUUUAAUUUUGGGUGUGAUGAAAAAAACGUGUCAAAUUUUUCCAGCAAAAUUCCCUCCACAACAGCGAAUUUGUUGUACUAUGUUGUAUUUCACACAUACUGACCCAUUCCUUCUCUGUUAUAGUUAUGGCCAGUUCAGUUUCCCAUUUCUUUUUAAGGUAAAAGGUUGUGUCCUGUCUAUCUUCUUCUAAUGAUCUAUAGAAAGUGGAAAUUGCUUUGAAUUGUUUAUGUUCAUAGCAAUUUUUUACUAUUCCAAUAACACCCAAUGGUUUUUCAAGCCAGUCAGACUUUAUUUGCUUUACGCAAUAAUCCCUAACUUGCAAAUAUCUAAAAAAAUCUCUAUUUUCCAAUUUGUAUUUAGUUUUUAAUUGUUGGAAGCUCAUUAGUGUUCCAUUUUUUAUUAGAGUACAAACUGCUGUAAUCCCUUUUAACUCCCACCGUUUGAAUGUUUGAUCCAAUUGUCCCGGCUUAAAUUUUUUAUCAUGUCUAAACCAUCUCAGCAAAAAUAAUUGUUCUUUUAACUGAUGUUUUUCUAUUACUGUGUGCCAUAUGUCUAAUGUAAAUUUCACAAUUUGAUUCAUUCUACUUUUGUAAGAGGUCAUUAAUUCUUUGUCAGAGAUAAAAAUUUGAAUUUU